rnacentral:rRNA from 1 species
ACUCCUACGGGAGGCAGCAGUAGGGAAUCUUCCACAAUGGGCGCAAGCCUGAUGGAGCAACACCGCGUGAGUGAAGAAGGGUUUCGGCUCGUAAAGCUCUGUUGUUAGAGAAGAACGUGCGUGAGAGCAACUGUUCACGCAGUGACGGUAUCUAACCAGAAAGUCACGGCUAACUACGUGCCAGCAGCCGCGGUAAUACGUAGGUGGCAAGCGUUAUCCGGAUUUAUUGGGCGUAAAGCGAGCGCAGGCGGUCCUUUAAGUCUGAUGUGAAAGCCUUUGGCUUAACCAAAGAAGUGCAUCGGAAACUGUCAGACUUGAGUGCAGAAGAGGACAGUGGAACUCCAUGUGUAGCGGUGGAAUGCGUAGAUAUAUGGAAGAACACCAGUGGCGAAGGCGGCUGUCUGGUCUGCAACUGACGCUGAGGCUCGAAAGCAUGGGUAGCGAACAGGAUUAGAUACCCUGGUAGUCCAUGCCGUAAACGAUGAGUGCUAGGUGUUGGAGGGUUUCCGCCCUUCAGUGCCGCAGCUAACGCAUUAAGCACUCCGCCUGGGGAGUACGACCGCAAGGUUGAAACUCAAAGGAAUUGACGGGGGCCCGCACAAGCGGUGGAGCAUGUGGUUUAAUUCGAAG